rnacentral:rRNA from 1 species
CGAACGGUGAUGGGGAGCUUGCUCCUUGGAUCAGUGGCGAACGGGUGAGUAACACGUGAGCAAUCUGCCCUUGACUCUGGGAUAACUGCGGGAAACUGUAGCUAAUACCGGAUAUUACCUUGGAAGGCAUCUUCUGGGGUGGAAAGAAUUUUGGUCAAGGAUGAGCUCGCGGCCUAUCAGCUAGUUGGUGAGGUAAUGGCUCACCAAGGCGACGACGGGUAGCCGGCCUGAGAGGGUGACCGGCCACACUGGGACUGAGACACGGCCCAGACUCCUACGGGAGGCAGCAGUGGGGAAUAUUGCACAAUGGGCGCAAGCCUGAUGCAGCAACGCCGCGUGAGGGACGACGGCCUUCGGGUUGUAAACCUCUUUUAGUAGGGAAGAAGCGACUGGGUUUUCCUGGGAGUGACGGUACCUGCAGAAAAAGCACCGGCUAACUACGUGCCAGCAGCCGCGGUAAUACGUAGGGUGCAAGCGUUGUCCGGAAUUAUUGGGCGUAAAGAGCUCGUAGGCGGUUUGUCGCGUCUGCUGUGAAAACCCGAGGCUCAACCUCGGGCCUGCAGUGGGUACGGGCAGACUAGAGUGCGGUAGGGGAGAUUGGAAUUCCUGGUGUAGCGGUGGAAUGCGCAGAUAUCAGGAGGAACACCAAUGGCGAAGGCAGAUCUCUGGGCCGUAACUGACGCUGAGGAGCG